GCGGAGUUCUAGAACGUCGUGUAACCAAUGCCGGUGACGUCACGCACCCCGGUGCGGCCCCCGCCUGCCCGCGCGCGCACACACUCGGGCCCCCCGCGGCCGGACCCACGGGGGCGGUGCGCGAACCCCGCGGCCGGAGGGGGCCCCGCCUCUAGGCGGGCCAGGCGCCGGCAGAGGGGGAGCGCACCCCGACUUCCCUGGAUCACAUGGGCUACGGGGGGCGGGUGGAUCGGGGGAGGGGGAGGCGCGGGGAGCUCGCCGCCGCUCCUCGCUCGGGCAGGGGAGAAGACGCCCCCCACCCCCUCUAGUUCGGCCUCUCCAUUCAAGUUCGCCGGCCCCGGCCGCCGGGAUCCGGGGAUGGCACUAGCCGCCCGCCCAGCUCUGCGCCCUUUUUUUCCAGCCGCCGCGCAGAAAUUUAGGUCAAGGACGUCGGGAUCAAACCCAAACCCUGGCGCUCCUCGGCGGGCCCCGAGACCCCCCAGGAUCGGGGAGCUUCAGGAUUGCGGAGACCCUCCCGCACAAACAGCAGCCACAAGUUUUAUUUUCCUUUGGCGCUGGAAGUUCUCUCUGGCUCUCGCUCCACACCGGCACGUCUUGCGCCGCUCCCCGCCCUUCCCCGGCAGAGGAUUAGGACACAAUGGAAUACACUCAACACCAAACUAUACCAAAUCCACUGUGGGUCGUGGCAAAGUGGAAUAUUUGGAAAAUCCCAACACUAGCCAAAGCCUUGAAUGACCAGAUUCUUAAUCUCCCUGCCUCCUAAAUUUGGGAUAAUUCCUCACUGACAGGAUUGAUGGAGUGAAAGGAGAGAUUGAAUUACCAAUUUGGUCUUGAUGAAAGGUGCCGGGGCCUGCAGGAGAAAAUGGCUGUGCCUUUCAACUCCACCUGGAAAUAGUUGACUCGGUGCCGCAGUCACCUUCCCUUAGGCCUCUGCAUCCGUUAGAGCACUUGCCUCAUCCCCACCGCGCUCUGCCUUGUCAAACAGAAACCUCGGUGCCACAGCUGGAAACGUGCAGGGGUCCCUCCACCCAGGCCCCCUCACACACACCGCAGUUAUGUCUGGGACCUCCAAACAUUCCCCUAGGCUUUCACCGUCUAGCCCCAGAGCCCAUCAGCUUGCCAGGGUGCCCGCAACCAGCUCCUAGCUCAAUGCACAAAAUCACCCAUUAGUUUGGACCAAUGUUGGGUCCACGUCUUCAAAAUCCUUUGCUUUUUACCAUUCAUCCGGUAUUAGAGGUGGCCAAAACAUCAGUAGGAAGCAUGGCUGCAGUGUCAUCCCAUCACAUCUUUGGGUCUUCUGGAGGCCGACCCCUCCAGGAUCUAUUUCUUGUGUGAUCACUUCCAGCUUUGGAGGACCGUGGGUAUGACGCCCUCUUCUGGUGGAUGCGGGGAACGCCAGUUGCGCCCAUGCGUUUCAGUUCCCUCUGCUGGCGGUGGAGAGAGAGAAGCUGCCUCUGGCCUCCAGGCCCCAGAUUCCAGAGCUGGGGGGUGGGGCUGGGGCCUGCCUUCAAAUUGCGAGACCCAAGCCCCGCAGAUCCUGAGGUUUCCUCAAGUUGAAACCGAGACCCACCACUGCAGCUUCUACAGUUACCACGUCCAAGUGGCUGAAAACAAAUGAAGGGAAAGGUGGGGAAGGGAGAAAGCACUGUAAGCGCCGAAGGGGGUUCAAAUUGGCGGAAAUUACAUCUAUUUAGCUGCACGUGGUGUGGACACACAGAGACAGAAGGAAGAAAGGAAUCAGAGAAAAGAUCAGGAGUGAGGACAAUAGAGGACAGACUUUACAGCAAAUUGCUGAGUAAGAUACUCGUGCUAAAAAUAAUACCGCUUGGAGAGAGGGCAUAAGAAACAAAAGUGUGGCUGCUGUGCCCAUGGGUGGGAGGAACACGAGGCUCUGCAUAUAAACACCCAGAAUUAGAACAAGAUGAAGAAAGGAUCAUCACCCAGGAGGAGAAGGAAUGAACAUAAGUCUAAUUUGAAGCGAACCAGAAAAUUAAUUUUGCCACUAUCCUCUUGCUUCUGUGGAUCCGAUGAUGCUGGAGGGUCCCCAGCAGUGGAUGGCCACGCCUCUGGGUUCCGAGCAGGCCCCAAGACCCCAUCACCCACUCGGCAGAUGCUACACAAGAAAGGAGGGCGAGCCCCGGCUUUGUAUCUUCUAGUCUGGAUCACAGAUAAUCAUGAACAUUCAAAAAAUCAAUUGCCCAAGUGGCUGAUGGGGAGGUCUGGCUUGACAGAAGGCAUUCGUGAGGAAGACCCGGGGGGUUAGCUGAUCACAAGCUUGAUGUGAACCCACAGCGCAAGGAGGCUGUUGAGAACCCUAAUGCAAUCUUAGGCUCUAUUAAUAGAACGGCGGAGUGUGGAAGGAGGGAGGCCGUAAUCCCAGCGCGUGCUGGCAGGUCAGGCCACAUGCAGUUUUAUGCUCAGUCCUGCGGGCUAUAUUUUAAGAGCGGCACUGGCAAAUUCAAGCCUGUUCAGAAGAGCAUGAAAAGGACUGGAUGCCAGUAUUUAGACAGCAUCAAGAUUAGCUUGACAGUCCUUUUACAAUUGGCAAAAUCGGAAUGCGUAUUGCAUUGAAGACAGAAUCUCAGCAGCUAGGACCCAGAAUCGUGCUUUCAGUAUUCACUUAGUCUCCUUGAGCCUGAUGGGGUACCCUUUCUGUAGAGUGGGGGUACUACUCUUCCCCUGACCAGGCAGGUCUGCUCAGUUGGGCUUGUAUACUGAGCAUCUCCUUGCUCCCGGCUUGGGACGGGGCAUGAGGGCACCUGGAGUCUAGUCUAUGUUAGAGCCACAGGUCCGUAAGCAGGCGUCUUGCAUAUAACAUGACAGAUGAUAAUAGACACAUGCAUUGAUUUGAAAUGAGAUGUAAUUAAUUUCUUAUCAGGAAAGAAUGACAAGAGACAAAAAGAGAGUCUUAGGGCAUAUGUACUUGCAAGUGCAAAGGAAAAGAAUUGUUGGAGGUCAGAGAGCAGAGUCCACGAGUGAGGAAAGAUUAGAACCAGGAAAUUUCAGAGUCACAGAAGACUGCUGAAAGGUCUCCACACUGUCAGGUGCCACCAAAAAAUCCAGGAGAAAGAGGAGAAAAGCUGAAAUAUUUCCAGACCACUCUCUGGAUGUGGAGGUUAGGAGUUCAUCCUUACUGGUCAAGAAACACCUUAUUGAAAAAAUGCUAGAGGCAGAGAUGGACUUCAUUUAGAAUAUUUGUGGAAGGAUGCAAUUAUUGGACACCUACUGCACACUUCUCAUGGUGCUAUGCACUGCGGAAGUUGGAAAAGCAUAAGACUUUGUUGGAACCCACUUCAGUAAUGACUAGUGAGUUAAAACUAACACCUACACAAUCAUUACAGAAGAGUAGAAGAUUAUUACAUAAAUUGUCCAGCUGGGUAAGGUAGACAAUGGCUUAAAUGGCCAGUUGUUUGGCCCAUGAUAUUCCUUAUGCUUAUGAAAGCCAGAAGAAGAAAAGAUGGCGGCAGUACAUUCCAAUAUGGUGAACCUGAUCCUAGUCUUCCACUUCCCCCAUGUCCCUCGAAGUUUCCUUUCAUAGAAGUGUUUGGAAACACAAUUCUUGUCUUAACAUCCCUCAUGUUGGCUCCCAUUUUGUUAUUUACCAGUGAGAUUAAUAUUACUCUUUACCCUGCUCACAUUCUAGAUCCAACAUGUGUUUUUUCAUCAGUGGGUUUGUGUUUGGUUGAUUAGUUAUUCAUGUAUAAUGCAAGAUGACAAGAGCUGUAAUACAGAGAAAUGAUUGUGGAGAAUACAGGCAUACAAGC